rnacentral:lncRNA from 13 species
AUUUUAGCUAAUUAAAUAAUGCUAGAGUGUCUUAGAAACUACAAAAGCAAACGAAACCACACGGCAGUCACACUAUAUUUGUUAAGACCACUUGUGUAUUUCUGAGAUGUUUAGAAAAUUGAAGUCUGCAUAACAAAACUUUUAAAGAGAGUCAGAGGCUCAAAAUGCUGUGGCUGGCAUAAUUGGAAAGGUAGGAGAAGAACAACUGAAAGAGAAUUUUCAUAAAAAUAAUCAUUGUUCAGGAUAUGAAUGGGGAGAGAAUAGAAUUGUUUCCCUAGGUAUGGUAUAGCAGCUUAACGGUUCUGAAAAUUGUGUAUUGUAUGUGCGUGCAUGUGUGUGUUUCACACUAUGUCACAUGUGUUAUUUACAGGAUGGAAUUGCUAUUUCUAGGCCAGAGAAUCAGCAUUAACUAUAUAUUAUAUUUAGGUAUGAAUGAAAGCUGAUCUCUAGCAUCCUCUUUCAUUUUUGGGGGACAAGAUGGCUGCUGUGAUCUGUGAACAUGCUCUUGCAGACAGUGAGGUCCUCCAUCAGUGCUUCUUAGAACCCGAGGACAAGACAACUGCCAUGCAGCCAAUCCUUGCUCUGGAUGCAAGCCUAGCAGGCUCUAGUGUCAUUCUAGUCAUUCCUCUGCAAAACACUAUAGUGGCAUAUGGGAUCUUGAAUUUUCCUGUAAAAAUGUAUUUGUAAGCACUGGAUCUAGAGGACUAUUGGUUAAUAAUUAAGAGGGAGACAGAGAGAGAGUGUGUGUGUGUGUGUGCACAUGUGUGUGUGCAUGUGUGUGUGUAUUCCAAUACAUAAGGUGAUUUAUAAAAUACAAUACUGUCAAAAAAAAGUCUCUUUUAAUGCCCUAAGACUUAAGAGAGCUACAGUCUUUUGCUUUGUUUUUAUUUUGUUUGUGGUUUAAUUUUAAAAUAGUCUCUUCUAAGUCAUUAAGACAAAUAUAUACAAUAGAGAGAGUCCAGGACUGUGAGGCAAGAGAACUAAGUUUAACCCUGGCAUCUGGCUGGCUAACACUUAACAAUUCAUUCUAUCCUUCAAUGGAAGACUAAACUAAGCUGAACAUACACUGUUAAGUUUUAUUUCAACUAUAAAACUAUGCCUACUGAAUAUUUAUAGCCAGGUUUGUGCCUACGAAGAAUGAAGGAAUUUGUAAAGGAAUUUUAGUUCAAUAUCUUCAUGGUUUUAAUAAUCUGAGCCACUUUCUCACUUCACCACUAAGCUUAGAGAGACUUGGGUUUGCGCUGUCUCACCUCCGACAGGCCUCUUGAAAUGUUGAUCAGACCUUCAGCAGGAGCAGUCGAGUAGUAAUCAUUGUGAUUAGUGGGAACUAAUAUUUAAGAACCUGCCCUGUGUUUUCACUGCUUAACAUGCUCUCUCCAUAUUAACUAAUUUCAACUCCAUAACAGUCACAGGAUUUAUAUACAUUUAUAUAUUGUAACUAGUCCCAUUUUGAAGAUGAGCACACUGAGGCACUAAAAGCCUAAUAUUGUUUCUCCCAUAAAUGUGUUUCACUGAGAACCAGCCAAUCUGGUUCUCAGUACAAAUCUGAUGAAUCCAAGCCAGAUUCUAGAAAGUGUGUUUAUCCUUAGAGUCUAUCUUCAGCCACAGUGAUUACUGAAUUACUGUCUGGAUACUGAACAGUUUUAUUAUAAAGAAAUUUUUUUAAAAAAUCUCCUUCCCCAGUGACCUAAUAAAAAGUACUCUGUGCCCA